ACAACAUUCGGACCGUCGGUCUACCGAGCAAUAUCACUCGCUCGAUGGAAGAUCUUCCCUUUGGCGU
rnacentral:pre_miRNA from 1 species